rnacentral:tRNA from 2 species
GGAGGCGUCGCAUAGUGGUCUAGUGCACCGCCUUGGAAAGGCGGCAGGCUCGAAAGGGUCUCGAGAGUUCGAAUCUCUCCGCCUCCG